rnacentral:rRNA from 1 species
UUUAAGUGUUAAUUAUAUUUACCUGGGUAGUAUUAGUUAAGGUCUUUAAACCCAAAGAAUUUGGCGGUAUCUCAUUCCAUUCAGAGGAACCUACUCCAUAAUUGAUAAUACACGAUUAACUCUACUUAUUUUAUUUGCUUGUAUAUCUCCGUUAUCAGAAAAUCUUUUUAGAGUUAUAAUUUUCUUAAUUUAUAAUUAUAAAAUAUUUCAGGUCAAGGUGCAGUUUAUAAUUAAGAGGUAGUGGGUUACAAUAAAUUUUGAUUUAUAACGAAUUUUAUAUUGAAACAUUAUAAAUAAAGGUGGAUUUGAUGGUAAUUUAAUUUAUUUAGUUUAUUUGAUAUUGGCUCUGAGGUGUGC